AAAACGACUCUCGGCAACGGAUAUCUCGGCUCUCGCAUCGAUGAAGAACGUAGCAAACUGCGAUACUUGGUGUGAAUUGCAGAAUCCCGUGAACCAUCGAGUCUUUGAACGCAAGUUGCGCCCGAAGCCAUCCGGCCGAGGGCACGUCUGCCUGGGCGUCCCGC
rnacentral:rRNA from 1 species